UACGUAGGGUGCGAGCGUUGCCCGGAUUUAUUGGGCGUAAAGGCGCGUAGGCGGCCACGCACGUCCGUUGUGAAAUCGCCCGGCUCAACUGGGCGGGGUCGGCGGAUACGGCGUGGCUGGAGCAAGCUAGGGGGCAAUGGAAUUCCCGGUGUAGUGGUGGAAUGCGUAGAUAUCGGGAGGAACACCAGUGGCGAAGGCGGUUGCCUGGAGCUUUGCUGACGCUGAGGCGCGAAAGCGUGGGGAGCGAGUCCGG
rnacentral:rRNA from 1 species